UGCCUAUACAUGCAGUCGAGCGAACAGAUAAGGAGCUUGCUCCUUUGACGUUAGCGGCGGACGGGUGAGUAACACGUGGGUAACCUACCUAUAAGACUGGGAUAACUUCGGGAAACCGGAGCUAAUACCGGAUAACAUUUGGAACCGCAUGGUUCUAAAGUGAAAGAUGGUUUUGCUAUCACUUAUAGAUGGACCCGCGCCGUAUUAGCUAGUUGGUAAGGUAACGGCUUACCAAGGCGACGAUACGUAGCCGACCUGAGAGGGUGAUCGGCCACACUGGAACUGAGACACGGUCCAGACUCCUACGGGAGGCAGCAGUAGGGAAUCUUCCGCAAUGGGCGAAAGCCUGACGGAGCAACGCCGCGUGAGUGAUGAAGGGUUUCGGCUCGUAAAACUCUGUUAUUAGGGAAGAACAAACGUGUAAGUAACUGUGCACGUCUUGACGGUACCUAAUCAGAAAGCCACGGCUAACUACGUGCCAGCAGCCGCGGUAAUACGUAGGUGGCAAGCGUUAUCCGGAAUUAUUGGGCGUAAAGCGCGCGUAGGCGGUUUCUUAAGUCUGAUGUGAAAGCCCACGGCUCAACCGUGGAGGGUCAUUGGAAACUGGGAAACUUGAGUGCAGAAGAGGAAAGUGGAAUUCCAUGUGUAGCGGUGAAAUGCGCAGAGAUAUGGAGGAACACCAGUGGCGAAGGCGACUUUCUGGUCUGUAACUGACGCUGAUGUGCGAAAGCGUGGGGAUCAAACAGGAUUAGAUACCCUGGUAGUCCACGCCGUAAACGAUGAGUGCUAAGUGUUAGGGGGUUUCCGCCCCUUAGUGCUGCAGCUAACGCAUUAAGCACUCCGCCUGGGGAGUACGACCGCAAGGUUGAAACUCAAAGGAAUUGACGGGGACCCGCACAAGCGGUGGAGCAUGUGGUUUAAUUCGAAGCAACGCGAAGAACCUUACCAAAUCUUGACAUCCUUUGAAAACUCUAGAGAUAGAGCCUUCCCCUUCGGGGGACAAAGUGACAGGUGGUGCAUGGUUGUCGUCAGCUCGUGUCGUGAGAUGUUGGGUUAAGUCCCGCAACGAGCGCAACCCUUAAGCUUAGUUGCCAUCAUUAAGUUGGGCACUCUAGGUUGACUGCCGGUGACAAACCGGAGGAAGGUGGGGAUGACGUCAAAUCAUCAUGCCCCUUAUGAUUUGGGCUACACACGUGCUACAAUGGACAAUACAAAGGGCAGCUAAACCGCGAGGUCAUGCAAAUCCCAUAAAGUUGUUCUCAGUUCGGAUUGUAGUCUGCAACUCGACUACAUGAAGCUGGAAUCGCUAGUAAUCGUAGAUCAGCAUGCUACGGUGAAUACGUUCCCGGGUCUUGUACACACCGCCCGUCACACCACGAGAGUUUGUAACACCCGAAGCCGGUGGAGUAACCAUUUAUGGAGCUAGCCGUCGAAAGGUGA
rnacentral:rRNA from 1 species